rnacentral:lncRNA from 1 species
GUUUUUUUACCUUGACACAAUCUAGAGUCAUCUGAGAAGAGGGAAUCUUAACUGAGAAAAUGCGUCCUUCAGAUCCGCCAAGGAGAUUUCCUCAUGAGAUUUUCUGCCUGGUGUGACUCUCGUCGGUCGGAAGAAGCCAACAAGAAAAGAAGCAACGAAGAGAAGGAACAAUGAAGAGAAGAAGGAAGAGAAGGCGUGGGUUGGGGCUCCCAAGCUCCUCAUCUCAGCUGGGGAUACCCUUCCCUGGGAGCUGCAGCGCCUCUUCUGAGGAGGCUUCCUCUCAGCUGUGUGGUUCCUGAGCCCCUGUGUCUCAGGAUGCGCUUCCAUUGGGACACUAUCUCACCUGAGAGCUGUAAGGUUCCUGGGCCCCCGUGUCCCAGGAUACCCUCCCACCAGAGCAGAAUGUAUGUAAAUUCAUUUUCACCUCCUCUCCCACCUCUCAUCGCCUUCUCCGUCCCACACAACCCCCUCUCCAUGACAAAGGUCUCCUCCUAUUUCACAUCUUCUUUCCACGCGUGAUCCACAGAGAUUCACUAGACUUGCUUGCACAAGCAGGAGUUGGGUGGUUAUUUACUGGAGCAAGGGCAACCCCCAGCAACCACUAACUGAAUCUUGGCGGUUUGAUCCGCCCCAUAGGCUCUCCAGCACAGGCUGGUCAGAAGCCAGUAGCCCAGAGAACAGCUGAAGUGUGCAGCUAAAGCCCUUCUUAGGAGAAGGUGGAAGCUGAACUGGACCUGAGGUUGCAGCUUCUGGGCUGGUGGGGUGCCUGCUUGUUUUACAGUCUCCUCUGUGGUCUUUGCAUUUCAUCCUUGUGAGUUCUCCAGUACCAAGUCUCUCAGCUCCCCAAGCAAGGUGAGUUCACUAUCAGACCCUUUUGCACAGGCAUGCAUGCAUAUGAGCCUGUGUGUUAGUGUGUGUGUGUGGGUGUGUCCUGUAUGUGUCAUGUCUGUUUAUAUGUAUCAUGUGUUUGUGUGUCAUGUUUAUGUGUUUAUGGUGUGGUGUGAUUUGUGUGUGUUGGUGUGCAUGUGUGUCUCUUGUGUAUAUGCAGGUGUGUUUGUGUGUUCUAUAUGAGUGUGUCUGUAUGUGGUGUAUGUGUAUAUGCAUUUAUAUGUGUAUUUCUGUGUGUGGGGUGUGAUGUGCAUGUAUGUGUUGGCGUGUGUAUAUGUGUGUCUCUGUAUAUGUGUGUGUGUUGUAUAUGUCAUGUGAGUGUGUGUGGUAUAGUGUGUGUUUCUGUGUGUUGUGUUGUGGUGGUAUGGUGGUGUGGGGUAUGUGUAUAUGUGUGUGUAUUUGUGUGUGCUUUUCUAUAUGUGGUGUGGUGUCAUGUGUGUGUGUAUGUGAAGAUUCUUUUCCACCUCUGAACAGAAGGGACUCAAGGAUGACUCCCUCCUGAUGCUGAUAAGCUUGGCUCAGAGAGGCGUUUCUGUCUCUGCUUCCCCCUGCUUUCGAGGCAGCUAUCUAUCUACCCAGCUAUGUGGUGAGAGGGAUGCUACUGGUUUUUGCUUUAUUCUU